rnacentral:sRNA from 1 species
CUUUUCGUUGUCUCGACCCUUCUUUGUAUCUGACUGUCUCAGCUCACUAACAUACUUUUUUCCUAAAUGUAAUGGUAUCUGCAACUCCCUCAUUCCAGUAAGCCAAGUGAGCUUAAAGUCACCAUUAUAAAGGCCCCGUUGCCAUGAUCAUAGAAAACACCGGUUAUUUGUAGUUCAACCAAAAUAGUUGUUCAGAGAAGCGAUGGUGAUCGCCUGAAUGUUAGAGUAUUGAUCUUCGCACCACAAGAAUUUUGUGCUACUAUUGUAAACUGAAAAACGGCACAACACAGGCUACAUAUGAUCGAUGAAGGAAGUUUGGAAUUAUAAUUGGAAGUACUGUUUGCAGAAAUCGAGUUUGUGCGUGUCUGAGAGAGAUAUGGUGCUUAGUUUCAAAAAGCAGGUCGUGGGUUCAACCGAUAAAGGUUAAACUCUGGAAGUUGUAUUCCAACAUGGCGAACUUCCGUGUAGGUCCAAACCUUUCCUUCGAAAGUGUUCUUUCUUUGAAACUGCCUAGUACCAAGUGCUUACGUUUAUAUUGAAGCAAGAAAAAAUGUUAUGUUAAUCAUAUUUACACACGUUACUUUGUAACACUUUCCCUAUCUAAUUAAGGUUCGUUUUGUAUUGCUUCG